ACAACUCAGAGCCAUGGGGGCCAUUUCACCAGAGAACUCUGAUUAUCAUCAAAGUCAGACUGAAGACAAAUUCAGUCUAAAACUAAACCAGAGGAGAAUCAGACUGUGGGAACUGAAGUCUUUACCUGAUUUGCAAGCAGCUUUAUGAAUGUUUGUUAUGAAGUUCAUGCAAGGCAGUGAUAUCCUCUGCUCUGAAAUGAGUGAUUCUGUCAGUGAGUCCACAUUUAACAGAGUUGCGACACACUGACUAAGAGUCAGUCAACAUUCUUUAGCGUGAUCUCCUUUUGCCUGUAUGGUGUUCAUCACAGCAGAAACAGACGCCCCCUGCUGUCUGUGUGUGUAAUUCAACGCUCAACUAUUUUUAAAAAUCGUUAUUAAACAUAUAAAUCUCAUUUUCUAGCAUAGAUAAAGUAUAUCUUGCUUACAUUAAAGGGUGGUAAACCAAUUCACAGUGCUGUAAAAAGUGUUUAGCCUCCUCCUGGUUUCUCAGUUUGCUGCAUAUUGUGCAAAGCAGAGUGGGUAAAAUUCCUCCACAGUGGUGUGAGAGACUCAUCAACAGUUAUUACUAAUGUUUGAUUGCCCCUGCCAGUAGUAACAUAACCAUGUACCAGGUUUGGGGGAGGAUUACUUCUUCACGUGAUCCCAGGAAGGUUAGGAUAAUUUUUUUCCCCUUAACAAAUGAAAUCAUCAUUUCAAAGCUGCAUUUUCUAUUUCCUUGGAUUAUACUUGCCAAAUAUUAACAUUUGUUUGAGGAUUUCAAACAUGCAAGUGUCUCAAAUAUGGAAAAACAGAGAAAUCUGAUCUUAUGUGCAGUCUCCCUCCCCAUUUCGUGCACUUUCAAUGUUCAUAUAAUAAUAGCUGAAUGUGGAUUUAAGGCAGUUCACAGAUGAACAGUAGAGAGCAGCAAACCUCCAACUCUGCAUCCAGUCUGAAGGAUGAGGCAGAUGGGCUGAAGCAGAAAACCUGCGAUUGAACAGUGGAGACUGUGUCCAGUUAGACAAGAGUACAAGUGCUCACAGCACCCUAACGCACGAAGAAGAAGCAGCUCUUCAGAUGUUACUGCUACUGCCGACGAAGAUGAACAUGUCCAGAAGAGCCGUGCUGGGUUUGAUUCUCCUUUGUCUGUCACCAUCAUCAUCUUCUGGAGACUCCUCAACCCUCAACAUUUUGCCUGGAGAUAAUGUCAUUCUGCCAUGUUACGUUCCAAAUGAUCAAUCAAUUGGGGCUGUGAUGUGGACCAGGUCUUACCUGAAUUCAAAAUAUGUAUUUUUUUACCAGAGCAAUGCAUCUGAUCCAGACACUCAGAAGUCACCUUCUCUGAGACGCAUACAUGUGCUGGAGGAUGGUGAAUCGUCUUUGUUUAUAGUGGAAGCAACAUUUGCUGAGAUUGGAACGUAUGAGUGUCAUGUCGCCCAGACAGGAACAAACAACUCUACGGCGGCCAUUUUGAAGACCGAGCCAAUCAACACUGUCAAGCUGACAAUGGAACCGAUGAAAGUCUUAGUUGCACCUGGAGACAUUGCCAUUCUGCCAUGCGAGGUUCCAAAUAAGGAAUCCAUUGGAGCUGUGAUGUGGAUCAGAUCUGACUUGAAUCCAGAAAAAGAACUUUUUUACCAGAGCAAUGCAUCUGAUCCAAGCACUCAGCCGCCACAUUAUGUGAACCGUGUACGUCUAGUAAAUACAGACAUGGAGAAUGGUGAACUGUCAUUGUUUCUGUAUGACACGACUUUUGGUGAUGAUGGAACGUACGAGUGUCAUGUCACCCAGGUAGGAACAAGCAACUCUAAGGCAGCCAUUUUGAAGACUACGCCCAUCAAAAUCAUCAAGCUGACAGUGGAACCAGUAGAAGAAGAGUUUGAGGUUGGCCAGAGUUUGGAAGCAUGUGAUCCAUCUGUGUUUUUUCAGCCACUUGUUUUUGCUAUGGGAAUUAUGGUUGUCAUCAUAGGUAUUUUGAAAUAUUGUUUUGGCUGGCAUAAGGCAGCUCCAUGCACAGCCAACCUGCUUGUUAAAAACUAACAUUUUUCUGUAACCUUUUCGAACUUCUUCAGUGUUAGGUUUAGUUAUUAAUGUAUUCCUAUUCAUGUAAUUCAUUCAUGUUUAAGAGUUUGUUAAAAUGAACUGUAAAGAGCCCAGGUGGUAUGUUACAUGUUUUGUGAGGUUCUUUUGGUCAAACAUUGAGGGUUGGCUCUAAUGUAGGAUUUGAGGAUGAUGGCAAAGAAAGACAGUAGGCUGAGCUGAAGGUGAGAGAGUUGGAGAUGUUAAGAUUUUGACUAUGAGUGACCAGAAUGGACAAAAUUAGAAAUUAGUAUAUCAGAGGAACAGGUAAGGCUGAGCAGUUUAGAGACUGAAAAAAAAGCAAAGUGGAAACCGUUUGGACACUUAAAGUGGAGAUACAGUGUAUAUACCGGACAAAGGCUUUUGAAGAUGGAGGAAGACCACAAAGAAGGUCUGUGGAUUGAGUGAAGAAGGAUAGCAAGAGUGCUAGUGUAACGAGGAGGAUGCAAGGGAUAGGGUGAGAAGCAGGUAGAUGAUCGGAAAAGUAAAUUAGCCUUACCACAUGUAGUGUUUCCUGUCUACAUUAGCAUUAGUUUUAUUGUUUCAUGUGCAGCUUCUGAGCUUUCUGAGAAAAAAAAAAAAACAUGUUGCUUUAAAAAAAAAACAGGAAAACUUUAUGUGGUUUUAAUACUACACACGAUAGCAGUGUGACUAAUGCAGACAGCAAUCGUAGCAAUGGUGGUUGAAUUUUCUGGUUCUCCAACAUCCAAAAAAAACCUAAAAAUAAAUGUAGCUUAGAGUGAGUUUUUAAAUCCAGGCUGCAGACGAUCCGAGUGCACUCUUACUGUUUUUCAUGUUAAAAAUGUGUUUAUUUGUUGAAAUGUAGUCAUUAAAUGUUUAAAUGUCCCAUGUAUGUAUAAGUGUCGGAAAUCACAAAAAUUGGUUUAACUGGAUACAAAAUGUGUCUUUUUUGUUUGAUUGAUAUUUGUAACUUUAGUUGAUUAAUUAGAUGUAAAAAUUAAAUGCAUCAUUUGGCCAGAGUCUAGGUUUGUCAGCUUUGGAGUAAAAAUGAAGUUGGGUAAAAUGAGGAGUAAACAACCCUGAACAGGAAAAAAUAGUUAUUCCCUUUUUUGUGAAAGAAAUAUAAAUAAUGGUGUACAACAGAGGUCCCUAAGACCCGCACCACGGACUGGUGCCGGCCCAAGAGUCAUUUGGUACCAGGCCUUGAGAGCUGAGGCUCGGGUGUGAAGUUUAUGGUUUUCAGGGUUUUUAUCAGUUUUUAUCGUUAUUUUUUUUAAUCAAUUUUAUCAUUAUCUCGGUUUCCCUGGGUCUUUUCCCGUGUGUUAUGAAUAAAUCUUCUUUAUUCGGUACCGGUACUGGUUUUAAUAUUGUUGUAUUUAUCUGUGACAACUUAAAGGCUGGUCCAUGAAAAUACUGUCAGACAUAAACCAGUCCAUGACGCAAAAAAGUUUGGGGACCGCUGGCCUACAAUGACGCACAGCCCUCAGUCCACUGCACUCAAGUAGAGUAUUUACCUGUUGCCAUGGUUAAUCUAUUUAUGACUAUCCGUCGAAGCACUCAGCUUUGAGUGAAUCAGCCUUAAUCAUCUUUCCUGGAAAUGAAAACUCUGAAUUUUCCUCCUGUUACAUUUUUUUCUAACAUCAUCAUAAUUACACUGUCUCUUUCGUGUUAUUUUAUGUUUUGAAAGGGUUGGUAGUAACAGCAGGUUUUAAAUCAAAAUCAGCAUUUCUACACAUAGAAAACUCACAAUUUAGAAAAGGUAAUUUAUUAAUACACAUUACUUUGUUCUAAAUAAUUAUAGUAUAAAACAAUGUUUUAAAAAUCAAUUUUAUUUCUGGGUAAACACUCAUGUCUACAGAAAGUGUCCUUAAAGUUCAAUAUUAUUGACACAGUCACUGUAUCAGUAAAACUGUGCUGUAUCUACUGCUGAUGACUGCCAUCAUUCAGCUUUUUAAUUUUUUUUCUAUCAGGAUUUGUUCUAUAAAGACACCAAUGUAACUCUACAUAUGCAACAAAAAAAGAAAAUUAUACAGAACAUGAAUUGGAAUAAAUACAAAAUGACUAAGAGCAAUAAACACCAUUCAGCUUCAAAAAUUCAGUCAAGUCCCUGCAAUGGCCAGUCUUAAAAUUCAGUGUUUUCUCUGAGCAGCAGUGUAAAAUCCAAAGAGAUUCACAUGUGCCAAAAAAUGCAUCAAAUGCUGUCAUUUAUAAGGUUCGUUGCACUAAUAAGAGGUUUGGUUUUAAUUUUUAUUUGCUGAAGUCUUAAAAUCUUAAAGAAAAUGUAUUUUUAUUGUUAACCCUGUAACACCCAACUCAUCAAAAAAUAGCCAGAAACUUCAGAUAUUUGGGAACUGAGAUGUUUAUUAACCCUUAUAACGACAUCCACCAUUUCUAUUUAUUCAUUUAUUUUUUUGCUAUAUCAUGUUGUGUAUGAUGUAUUUUUAUUAUAUAUUUUUUGCAUCACAUUCCAUACAUUGGGCAUUUUUGGCAGUUUUUUGUUAACAACAAUAGUAAUUUUAAUUAUAGACAAAAAAAAGAGUUUUGUCCAUAACAUUAUGGCAAGUAUUGAUCAAGUUGAUGAGAUAGAGGUCACAGAAACUCAUGUAUCAAGUAUGAUACAAAGGGCACUAUAGGGUUAAAAUUAUGCAGAAGUCCUGGCUCAGAUGUUAGUUUGAUGCUGCAAAUGUUUUGUUGUGACUGUAAAUUGUUGUUGCGAC
ensembl:lncRNA